rnacentral:rRNA from 1 species
UACAGAGGUUUCAAGCGUUGUUCGGAUUCAUUGGGCGUAAAGGGUGUGUAGGUGGCGCCGUAAGUCGGGUGUGAAAUUUCGGAGCUUAACUCCGAAACUGCAUUCGAUACUGCGGUGCUUGAGGACUGGAGAGGAGACUGGAAUUCAUGGUGUAGCAGUGAAAUGCGUAGAGAUCAUGAGGAAGACCAGUGGCGAAGGCGGGUCUCUGGACAGUUCCUGACACUGAGACACGAAGGCCAGGGGAGCAAACGGG